CAACUACUCCCUCUGUCCCAAAUUUCUUGUCUUAGAUUUGUCUAGAUACGGAUGUAUCUAAUACUAAAAUGUGACUUGAUACAUCCGUAUCAAGACAAAUCUAAGACAAGAAUUUUGGGACGGAGGGAGUACUUU
rnacentral:pre_miRNA from 1 species